UUCCGUUAUGUCAUGUUGUGUUUUGUGCGCUCACCCACCUUAAUCUCUGUCUGGCCGUUUGCCGUUGCGGACUCUUGGACAGGUGGCCGAUGUAGUAGAGCGGGAAGAAGAGACAGUUCCAGGUGGUGGCGAACCAGGGCCUUCCGCACUUGCAACGCCGUUAUCCGGAUGCAGCAUUGCAGUUUCCGCCUGGUGGAGUUGGACUCAGGACCCGCCGCGCCCGCCGCCGACUGAACAUCUGCACCGCUGUGUGCCACGUGCUCCCUGGGCCGCUCUUCCCCUGAAAAUUUCAUCGUGAGCAGGAAACAGGAGAGGAGCACUUGGUAUCCUUUCGAUGAGCCCCGAAUCCACUUUGACAGCAGCACGGCUUCACCCCGUCACCCUGACGACACCGAAGCGUGAAGGCCAGUGACAUUCAAAGGCAUCUCUCUGACCCACCCUACAGUGUCUGCAGUGCAGAUCUCCCUUGCUGAAUGCUGCAAGUCCAACAAUGGUGCCAGCACAGCCCCAACUGACAGCCUCCACUUAGAAUUCCUCUUUCUCACCGACACCUGUCUUUUUCUUUAUUGGAACAUUGUUACCUUCUACAUUAAAAAAAAUGAAGUGAAAAUAAUGGAAGUGUCAGCAGUUUUGGUGAUCCACAAUUAUGUAUGUGACACUGAGGUCAGGAAGAGGUUGGUCUGUUUAUUUGGGGGGCUGGUGGGGUUCUUGGGUGAUAAGAAGAGUGGGAUGGAGCCUCAGUUUGACAAUA